rnacentral:sRNA from 1 species
GCUACACGGGGGAAACUGUGCGCAGUGGAUUACGGGAGCAGGCAUGGAGUCCCAGGCUGUUUGUCCAGGCGCGUCAGCCGUUGUGGCGUGGAAGAUAAGAUAUUCCAUGCCCAUGCCCGUUGUUGGCUUUGCGUGAACGAGAAGAGAAGAAGCAUUAGUAUCACCAACUCCGAGUCUCCUCCUUCGAAAAAGAAAGAAGCAGAUUGGAACAACAAUUUAAGUUCUUUUUUCUUUUUCUUUUAUUUUUAUUUUAUUUUUAUUUCGUGCAUUUCUUCUUUUCUUCGUCCUCGAACCGGCAAGGGUUCGACGUUGUAGAUUCAAGAUUUUUUUCUCUUCUCCUCCUUUUUUUUUUUUUGAGAUUUUUUUUUUCUUUUUAUUGUUCCGUUUGGUGUUUAAAGAGUUGAAUUGGAAUACCAUGGAUCAUCCCCAAAGCCAAAUGUUGGUUCGAGA